UGCAGUCGAGCGGAAAGGCCCUUCGGGGUACUCGAGCGGCGAACGGGUGAGUAACACGUGAGCAACCUGCCCUAGGCUUUGGGAUAACCCCGGGAAACCGGGGCUAAUACCGGAUAAGACUUCUGACCGCAUGGUUGGGGGUGGAAAGUUUUUCGGCCUGGGAUGGGCUCGCGGCCUAUCAGCUUGUUGGUGGGGUGAUGGCCUACCAAGGCGACGACGGGUAGCCGGCCUGAGAGGGCGACCGGCCACACUGGGACUGAGACACGGCCCAGACUCCUACGGGAGGCAGCAGUGGGGAAUAUUGCACAAUGGGCGGAAGCCUGAUGCAGCGACGCCGCGUGAGGGAUGACGGCCUUCGGGUUGUAAACCUCUUUCAGCAGGGACGAAGCGUAAGUGACGGUACCUGCAGAAGAAGCGCCGGCCAACUACGUGCCAGCAGCCGCGGUAAGACGUAGGGCGCGAGCGUUGUCCGGAUUUAUUGGGCGUAAAGAGCUCGUAGGCGGCUUGUCGCGUCGACUGUGAAAACCCGCAGCUCAACUGCGGGCCUGCAGUCGAUACGGGCAGGCUAGAGUUCGGUAGGGGAGACUGGAAUUCCUGGUGUAGCGGUGAAAUGCGCAGAUAUCAGGAGGAACACCGGUGGCGAAGGCGGGUCUCUGGGCCGAUACUGACGCUGAGGAGCGAAAGCGUGGGGAGCGAACAGGAUUAGAUACCCUGGUAGUCCACGCUGUAAACGUUGGGCGCUAGGUGUGGGGGGCCUCUCCGGUUCCCUGUGCCGCAGCUAACGCAUUAAGCGCCCCGCCUGGGGAGUACGGCCGCNAGGCUAAAACUCAAAGGAAUUGACGGGGGCCCNCACAAGCGGCGGAS
rnacentral:rRNA from 1 species